rnacentral:misc_RNA from 1 species
UUUCCUUCUACUCCCAGUUUGAAGAAAUAUUCAGCAGCUGAAGCCAGCUUUGGGACCUCCGCGACUACCAUUGAUCUCAGCCUGUUUGUCAGAAGGGAUAAUUCAUCUGCAACAAGGGAAAAUGGGUCCACUUGCUCCUCUGCUACAGCAGUGCUUUGCUGAUGAAUUUGUUGCCCAAUACCACUAAGAGCAUUAGAAACCCAUGAAUGAAUUACUCUGCAACCCAGAACCUUUGGAGGAUCGUGGAUGUGAUUGGAUUGAUGUAAUUGUGGGAUGGGACGUAAUGAAAAUAACCAUCGGCAUCUGCUGAAGCGGUUUCUGGAAAUCUGAGCUAAACCCUUUGAAAAUAUCAUCGUUCGUAUUCAAUUUCUAUUUUGUGUGUGUGUGUACGCUGACUGCUGAGUUUGAG